rnacentral:rRNA from 1 species
GGCCGUAGCAAUACGGCAGUGGCGGACGGGUGAGUAAUGAAUCGCUAAUGUACCCCGGACUCUGGGAUGGCCGGUCGAAAGGCCGGGUAAUACCAGAUGAUAUAUCCCGAUCGCAUGGUUGGGAUCUCAAAGGUCAGCCGGUCUGGGAGCAGGCGAUUUCGUAUCAGGUAGUUGGUGAGGUAACGGCUCACCAAGCCGACGACGCGUAGCUGGUCUGAGAGGACGGCCAGCCACAUUGGGACUGAGACACUGCCCAGACUCCUACGGGGGGCUGCAGUAACGAAUCUUCCGCAAUGCACGCAAGUGUGACGGAGCGACGCCGCGUGGAGGUUAAGUCCUUCGGGAUGUAAACUCCUGUCAGGGGUUACCAAGUUCUGAGGAGCCCCAGAGGAAGGCACGGCUAACUCUGUGCCAGCAGCCGCGGUAAUACAGAGGUGCCGAGCGUUAGGCGGAAUCACUGGGCUUAAAGCGCGCGUAGGCGGAUGUUUAAGUGUCUUGUGAAAUCCCACGGCUCAACCGUGGAACUGCUGGGCAUACUGGACAUCUUGAGGCACUCAGGGGCGAGCGGAACAAGUGGUGGAGCGGUGAAAUGCGUAGAUAUCACUUGGAACGCCAAUGGUGAAGACAGCUCGCUGGGGGUGUCCUGACGCUGAGGCGCGAAAGCCAGGGGAGCGAACGGGAUUAGAUACCCCGGUAGUCCUGGCCCUAAACGAUGUCCACUAGAUCAUGGCGGCUCUGACGUCGUCAUGGUCGGAGCAAAAGUGUUAAGUGGACCGCCUGGGAAGUACGGUCGCAAGGCUAAAACUCAAAGGAAUUGAC